rnacentral:rRNA from 1 species
AACGAACGCUGGCGGCAUGCCUAACACAUGCAAGUCGAACGAGACCUUCGGGUCUAGUGGCGCACGGGUGCGUAACGCGUGGGAACCUGCCCUUAGGUUCGGAAUAACUCCCCGAAAGGGGUGCUAAUACCGGAUAAUGUCUUCGGACCAAAGAUUUAUCGCCUUUGGAUGGGCCCGCGUUGGAUUAGCUAGUUGGUAGGGUAAAAGCCUACCAAGGCGACGAUCCAUAGCUGGUCUGAGAGGAUGAUCAGCCACACUGGGACUGAGACACGGCCCAGACUCCUACGGGAGGCAGCAGUGGGGAAUAUUGGAGAAUGGGCGAAAGUCUGAUCCAGCAAUGCCGCGUGAGUGAGGAAGGCCUUAGGGUUGUAAAGCUCUUUUACCCGGGAUGAUAAUGACAGUACCGGGAGAAUAAGCUCCGGCUAACUCCGUG